rnacentral:rRNA from 1 species
UACGGGGGGGGCAAGCGUUGUUCGGAAUUACUGGGCGUAAAGAGCUCGUAGGUGGUUUGUCGCGUUGUUCGUGAAAACUCACAGCUUAACUGUGGGCGUGCGGGCGAUACGGGCAGACUGGAGUACUGCAGGGGAGACUGGAAUUCCUGGUGUAGCGGUGGAAUGCGCAGAUAUCAGGAGGAACACCGGUGGCGAAGGCGGGUCUCUGGGCAACAACUGACGCUGAGGAGCGAAAGCGUGGGGAGCGAACAGG